rnacentral:rRNA from 1 species
GAUGAACGCUGGCGGCGUGCUUAACACAUGCAAGUCGAACGGAAAGGCGCCUGCUUGCAGGGGUACUCGAGUGGCGAAGGGGGGAGUAACACGUGGGUGAACUGCACUGCACUUAGGGAUAAGACUGGGAAACUGGGUCUAAUACCGGAGAGGACGAUGGGUUGGAUGCCAUUGUGGAGAGUUUUUUCGGUGUGGGGUGAGCUCGCGGCCUAUCAGCUUGUUGGUGGGGUAUUGGCAUACCAAGGCGUCGACGGGUAGCCGGCCUGAGAGGGUGUACGGCCACCUUGCGACUGCGAUACGCACCAGACUCCUACGGUAGGCAGCAGUGGGGAGUAUGGCACAAUGGCGGCACGCCUGAUGCGGCGACGCCGCGUGGGGGAUGACCGCUUUCGGGUUGUGAACUCCUUUCGCUAGGGACGAAGCGCAAGUGACGGUACCUGGAGAAGAAGCCCCGGCUAACUACGUG